GCGGAUGUAGUUUAGUGGUAGAACUUCAGCCUUCCAAGCUGAUCGUGUGGGUUCGAUCAUCAUCCGCUCCA
rnacentral:tRNA from 1 species